rnacentral:rRNA from 1 species
GACGAACGCUGGCGGCGCGCUUAACACAUGCAAGUCGAACGGAAAGGCCUGCUUUCCCUUGUGGAUUGCGGGUACUCGAGUGGCGAACGGGUGAGUAACACGUGAGUGAUCUGCCCCCACCUUGGGUAUAAGCCUGGGAAACUGGGUCUAAUUCCCGAUAGGACUGCAGGGUGGUGCCUGUGGUGGAAAACGAUUUUCUAGUGGUUGGGGAUGAGCUCGCGGCCUAUCAGCUUGUUGGUGGGUAAUGGCCUACCAAGGCGGCGACGGGUAGCCGGCCUGAGAGGGUGGACGGGCACUGUGAGACUGAGAUACGGCCCAGACUCCGACGGGAGGCAGAAGUGGGGAAUAGUGGAAGAUGGGGGGAAGCCUGAUGCAUCGACGCCGCCUGGGUGAUGACGUGCUUCGUGUUGUAAACUCCUUUCGGCCUCGAGGAAGCCACCUGGUUGGAAGGGUGGUGACGGUAGUGGUAGAAGAAGCACCGGCUAACUACGUG